rnacentral:rRNA from 1 species
CGAUGAUCCCAGCUUGCUGGGGGAUUAGUGGCGAACGGGUGAGUAACACGUGAGUAACCUGCCCUUGACUCUGGGAUAAGCCUGGGAAACUGGGUCUAAUACCGGAUAUGACCUUCCAUCGCAUGGUGGUUGGUGGAAAGCUUUUGUGGUUUUGGAUGGACUCGCGGCCUAUCAGCUUGUUGGUGAGGUAAUGGCUUACCAAGGCGACGACGGGUAGCCGGCCUGAGAGGGUGACCGGCCACACUGGGACUGAGACACGGCCCAGACUCCUACGGGAGGCAGCAGUGGGGAAUAUUGCACAAUGGGCGCAAGCCUGAUGCAGCGACGCCGCGUGAGGGAUGACGGCCUUCGGGUUGUAAACCUCUUUCAGUAGGGAAGAAGCGUAAGUGACGGUACCUGCAGAAGAAGCGCCGGCUAACUACGUGCCAGCAGCCGCGGUAAUACGUAGGGCGCAAGCGUUAUCCGGAAUUAUUGGGCGUAAAGAGCUCGUAGGCGGUUUGUCGCGUCUGCCGUGAAAGUCCGGGGCUCAACUCCGGAUCUGCGGUGGGUACGGGCAGACUAGAGUGAUGUAGGGGAGACUGGAAUUCCUGGUGUAGCGGUGAAAUGCGCAGAUAUCAGGAGGAACACCGAUGGCGAAGGCAGGUCUCUGGGCAUUAACUGACGCUGAGGAGCGAAAGCAUGGGGAGCGAACAGGAUUAGAUACCCUGGUAGUCCAUGCCGUAAACGUUGGGCACUAGGUGUGGGGGACAUUCCACGUUUUCCGCGCCGUAGCU